UACGUAGGGUGCGAGCGUUAAUCGGAAUUACUGGGCGUAAAGCGUGCGCAGGCGGUGAUGUAAGACCGAUGUGAAAUCCCCGGGCUUAACCUGGGAACUGCAUUGGUGACUGCAUUGCUGGAGUAUGGCAGAGGGGGGUGGAAUUCCACGUGUAGCAGUGAAAUGCGUAGAGAUCCGGAAGAACACCGGUGGCGAAGGCGGCCGUGCUGGGCUCAUGGGCUGACACUGGAGA
rnacentral:rRNA from 1 species